GUGCCAGCAGCCGCGGUAAUACGUAGGUGGCAAGCGUUGUCCGGAUUUAUUGGGCGUAAAGCGCUCGCAGGCGGUCUUUUAAGUCUGAUGUGAAAUCUCGCGGCUCAACCGCGAACGGUCAUUGGAAACUGGAGGACUUGAGUACAGAAGAGGAGAGUGGAAUUCCACGUGUAGCGGUGAAAUGCGUAGAGAUGUGGAGGAACACCAGUGGCGAAGGCGACUCUCUGGUCUGUAACUGACGCUGAGGAGCGAAAGCGUGGGGAGCGAACAGGAUUAGAUACCCUGGUAGUCC
rnacentral:rRNA from 1 species